GGAAUGAAAGUUAAGUCAGUUCUUAAGAAGUGGGCAUGAUUUGAACUUGUAGGAGGAAAUAAAAUGUGAUCCAAAUGGGAAUUGUGACGUGAGGCUGGCCACGCGGCAGAUGGAUGUAGAAAAGCGUGGAUGUUGAUUGUACCGGACCGAUGGUUCUCAAGGAACUAGACGUGCAUCUCUGAACGCCAGGCGUGAUCCCCCACAGAAAUAAUCUACCAAGUUAUCAUGAAUCCCGGGCGUGUAUUGUAGUUACAAUUUAAAGUUACAAACAAAACAAAAAUAUACAAACACGUAUCGGAUAUUUUAUUUCACGGCUUCCGUGACCAACAGCUUCUAUUAAAAGGUGGUGAACUUGGAAAGUAGGAGACAGACUGGCUUAUUUCUGACAUUAGAGAGGUGAGUGGCAAAUAACUAUAAGGACUGUUAAUCAGGUGCCUAUUAUUGCAUACUAUUGAUGAUUCGAAGAGAAAAUAUUACUACUUUAAGCAAUUAAACCC
rnacentral:lncRNA from 1 species